rnacentral:rRNA from 1 species
UGCCAGCCUCCGCUGUACUACUGAUUUUGCCAUCGUUGCUCGGAAUUACUGGGCGUAAAGCGCACGCAGGCGGUUUAUCAGGUCGGAUGUGAAAGCCCAGGGCUCAACCCUGGAACUGCAUUCGAAACCGGUAGACUUGAGUUCGAGAGAGGGUGGUGGAAUUCCUGGUGUAGAGGUGAAAUUCGUUGAUAUCAGGAGGAACACCGGUGGCGAAGGCGACCACCUGGCUCGAUACUGACGCUCAUGUGCGAAAGCGUGGGGAGCAAACAGGAUUAGAUA